rnacentral:rRNA from 1 species
GAAAUGCGAUAAGUAAUGUGAAUUGCAGAAUUCAGUGAAUCAUCGAAUCUUUGAACGCACCUUGCGCCCUUUGGUAUUCCGAAGGGCAUGCCUGUUUGAGUGUCAUUAAAUUAUCAACCUUUCAGGCUUUUGCUUGCUAGGCUUGGAUGUGAGGGCUUGCUGGCUUCCUUCAUUGGAUGGUCUGCUCCCUUUAAAUGCAUUAGUGGGAUCUCUUUGUGGACCGUCACUUGGUGUGAUAAUAUCUACGCCGCUUGACCUUGAAGCAAAUCUUAUGGGACCCUGCUUAUAACCGUCUUCGGACAACAUACCUUUUUAAUUUGACCUCAAAUCAGGUAGGACUACCCGCUGAACUUAA